UGUUUUUAAGACACAUUUUUAAAAGACCCUUAAUUUAAUUAGUAAUAAAGUCUGCAAGCAAUAAUGCUGUAAAAGCAGCUUUUGACUUUAACAAAAUAAAACAAAAUAAAAAAGAAGAGUUGGUAGAGAAUUCGUAAAAGCCACAAAAUCAAUCUUGAAAAGGUUAAAUUUCGAUACAGUAAAGUGAGAGGAAUUCGACACAAAUAUCCCUCCCAAUAAAAAACCACAAAUAUUGCAGAACAUAGUCUGAUUUAGACUCAUCAACACCAUUUUAGCUGAAUAUAAGGAAAAAAAAUAGAGAAUGCAGAUGAAGAUAGAGACAAUUGACAAAAGUCAAUAGCUGUAACCAUUAAGAGAGCAAUGGCAGAAAAGCGAGGAAUGGAACUAGGAUAUGCUAGAUGGCUUGACUUCUCAUUCUAAACAAGUAACUAGUUCAGAGCAUGUGCUCAUGUAUAACUUUGUCAAGGAAGUCAUCAAAGAUUUUGCGCACUUUCUUCAUGCGCUUAAUUAACCCUUGAAGAUCAAGUGCACCUAUGUAAGGAAUAAAGUCACCUAUGUUUGGAGUUGCUGCCAAAUACAAUAUCUCUUGCAUCACAGCUUUGAACCCUUUCUCGUCCAAGUCGUCGUCCAUGUACUUCUUUCCCAAAAUCAUUCUACAACUCAUGUCUGCACUUAGUGCUGCAACCUUGGCACUAAGAUCAACAGCAACUCCAUCACUGGCGGUUUCUCUCAUAAGCUUGAUAAAUAGGUCAACCUCCUCUUGCCUCAUGCUUUUGAAGGAGUUGAUUUUGG